GGUCGGUGGAAAUCUCCCGCGAAGCAGAGUCCUGAUUGGACUCAGGAGGUGGGCGGGCGCCCUGACCAACUGGGCGGGCGCCCAGGGUCUGGCCCCGUUUCACCUCCGCUUCGGUCUCGUGGCUUCUAGAGUCUUCUAGAUGUAAGAUAAUUGCGCGGCACGUUAAUAUCUCUAUGUAAUCCCGACGUGUGGGCCUUUCUUCCGUAUUUCCUGAUAACCCCCUGCAGAAAUAGACAAACACCAAAACUCGUGGAAUUCUGUCAGAUAAAACCCUAAGUCUAG
rnacentral:lncRNA from 1 species